rnacentral:rRNA from 1 species
AGUGAACGCUGGCGGUAGGCCUAACACAUUCAAGUCGAACGGCAGCACAGGAGAGCUUGCUCUCUGGGUGGCGAGUGGCGGACGGGUGAGGAAUACAUCGGAAUCUACUCUGUCGCGGGGGAUAACGUAGGGAAACUUACGCUAAUACCGCAUACGACCUACGGGUGAAAGCAGGGGAUCUUCGGACCUUGCGCGAUUGAAUGAGCCGAUGUCGGAUUAGCUAGUUGGCGGGGUAAAGGCCCACCAAGGCGACGAUCCGUAGCUGGUCUGAGAGGAGGAUCAGCCACACUGGAACUAAGCCACGGUCCAGACUCCUACGGGAGGCAGCAGUGGGGAAUAUUGGACAAUGGGCGCAAGCCUGAUCCAGCCAUACCGCGGGGGUGAAGAAGGCCUUCGGGUUGUAAAGCCCUUUUGUUGGGAAAGAAAUCCAGCUGGCUAAUACCCGGUUGGGAUGACGGUACCCAAAGAAUAAGCACCGGCUAACUUCGUGCCAGCCGCCGCCGUAA